rnacentral:tRNA from 1 species
GGAGAAUUACCCAAGCGGUUGAAGGGGUCGGUCUUGAAAACCGAUAGAGGAUGCAAGUCCUGCUAGGGUUCGAAUCCCUAAUUCUCCGCCA